rnacentral:lncRNA from 1 species
AGUGACACAUGGGCCCACAUAUAUCCAAAAUGCAUCGGAAGCUGGAAACCUACAACUUUUACCGAUUCGAGUCCAAAUGAAGAUCCUUGUCAAAGUCAGCUAACUAUGGAAUUCCCCGAGCCUGAAAUGUGAGGAAAUAAGGGUGGUGAGAUUAUAAAAUCCCAGUGAGUAAACAAAUACCAUCUAAACUAUCUAAAGUCGAGUAAAUAGAGACAAUUAAAAUAAGUCAUCAUACUGUAAUGUCAUUACCUUUCAACUCAUUUCAACCAAAAAAAAUCAAUCCAUAUAAAUCGAGAAAUCAACUUGGCUUAUGAAUUUCUUAAAACUUUGGCUCGUGCCAAAACUCAUAUUCGGUGAUACCUUGCGUAGAGCAUCCAACCGAGUCCGCCAAGGCUGUUAAAAUUUUUGUAUACACUUAAAAUAUAUUUUUAGUUUGAGAAAAAUACAGUCGUUCCUUGGCGUUGGCUGAGUUCCCCUUCACGUGGUGGUUUGGCGUGAAGUGAACCCUAAGCUUUACCCCAGGAAAUACCCUACGCGCCUCUCCGUUCGAGGUAAGAAUAUAAUGGAGUUUACCGUGCCCCUCUAAUAGGCUGGUCCAUGGAACCCCCUCUGUAGUGAAUAAUUAAUAUAUAAUCCACUAAUCAAUAAAAUUCAUUUUAGCAUGACAUGACAAUUUAUCGCAACCUAGCCUCUAAAGGUUGAAUACACAGUUAAAUCAUUCUAGCACCAAAAUCAGUUUAGCCAUUCAUGGUCAUUUAUUAUCAUAAGCCAUUCAAUUUAAAACCAUAAAUUUACAACACAAGUAGGCAGUCUCCAAUUACUCUAUUUUCAAAACUAGUAUUCGAUUUUUCAGAAAAUUUAUAAAAUCAUUUUAUAAAAUCACAAUUUCUCUUAAAACAUAGCAAUUUACCAUUUAAACUCAUUUUUCAUAAAACCACAUAAUUGUAUAAAACUACUCUAGAUAAUUAAGACGAUAAUAAGUUCACUCACAGUUCUAGGAGUCGAUGUACUCCUAAUCCCAGUCUCCAAGCACAAUCUCUGUACUUUUACCAGUGUACUUUGCUCACCACCUGUCCAUAAUGUACAAUACAUAAUUCACCACAUCAAUGCAUGACCAUUAUAAAAUCGAUUCAGGCUAGGUAUAUAUGCAUGAUAUGAUAUAUAACUUAUCUGACUACCGCUUAAAUGCGGUGCUGACCUAAUUCGGCCUAUUAUCUCCAAUUUAACUCCAAAUCAAUUCUCCUCACUUUCUACACUCCAAUUAUACCUAAAUUACCUUAAUGACUAUGAAUGAGAUUCAAUUUAUCAGUCUCGAUAGCAAAUUACGAAAAUACCCCUAAUGGGUAAAAAUUCGUAUUUUUGCUCUUAAAAUUUUCAUUAUUUUUUUAGGCUCAUAAUUCAUCAUUUCUUAACCAAUUCUCCUAGAAUGAAAAUCAAAUUCAUCCUCACUCAACACAUGGUAAAUUCGGCCAUUAAGGGUUGUGGGAGAAAAUAAAUUCUUUUCUUGUUGUUUUGUUUCUAAAUAUGCUAAACUAACUUAAAACACUAACAUAACUUAAAAUCAAAUUAGUCUAACAACUUUCUCUCUCCUAACCCAUUUUUCAGAAUUGAAUUCAUCAUAAUAACUUAAUAUUCAACCAUGGAAAUCAAGAACAAAAGCAUGGGUAAGCUAGGUAUCAAGGAGAAUUAAAGAAAUUCUAACUUACCUAGCUUGUUUCCUUGAUUUCUUCACUUUUUCUUUGAAUUUUCACCUAGGUUUUCUUGUUUUUCCCUUUGUUCUUCCUCUCUUUCUCUCUCUU